rnacentral:rRNA from 1 species
GGAACGUACCUUUUGGUUCGGAACAACACAGGGAAACUUGUGCUAAUACCGGAUAAGCCCUUACGGGGAAAGAUUUAUCGCCGAAAGAUCGGCCCGCGUCUGAUUAGCUAGUUGGUGAGGUAAUGGCUCACCAAGGCGACGAUCAGUAGCUGGUCUGAGAGGAUGAUCAGCCACAUUGGGACUGAGACACGGCCCAAACUCCUACGGGAGGCAGCAGUGGGGAAUAUUGGACAAUGGGGGCAACCCUGAUCCAGCCAUGCCGCGUGAGUGAUGAAGGCCCUAGGGUUGUAAAGCUCUUUUGUGCGGGAAGAUAAUGACGGUACCGCAAGAAUAAGCCCCGGCUAACUUCGUGCCAGCAGCCGCGGUAAUACGAAGGGGGCUAGCGUUGCUCGGAAUCACUGGGCGUAAAGGGUGCGUAGGCGGGUUUUUAAGUCAGGGGUGAAAUCCUGGAGCUCAACUCCAGAACUGCCUUUGAUACUGAAGAUCUUGAGUCCGGGAGAGGUGAGUGGAACU